CAGCCUGCCCGGUGACAUAGUUUAACGGCCGCGGUACCCUAACCGUGCGAAGGUAGCAUAAUCACUUGUUCUUUAAAUGAGGACUUGUAUCAACGGCAUCACGAGGAUCAUACUGUCUCCCUCCCCCAAUCAGUGAAACUGAUCUCCCCGUGAAGAAGCGGGGAUUUUUACAUAAGACGAGAAGACCCCAUGGAGCUUUAAACCCGACGACACCCUCGCUUCAUCUACACCCAUACAUUAAUGAAGGCAUGUUCACUCGGUUUUAGGUUGGGGUGACCGCGGAGUACAAAAUAACCUCCACGAAGGAUGGGUUUUAUCCCUUAUCCAAGAGGCACACCUCUAAGAAUUAGUAAACUAACAUCUAUGAUCCGAUUUCUCGAUCAACGAACCAAGUUACCCUGGGGAUAACAGCGCAAUCCACUUCAAGAGCCCCUAUCGACAAGUGGGUUUACGACCUCAUGUUGGAUCAGGGUAUCCUAGUGGUGCAGCAGCUACUAAAGGUUCGUUUGUUCAACGAUUAAAACCCUA
rnacentral:rRNA from 1 species